CUAAGGCCGACGCUCCGGCCGACGAGGCGUCUGCCGCACCCGUCGCCGUCG
rnacentral:rRNA from 1 species